rnacentral:rRNA from 1 species
CCUACGGGUGGCAGCAGUGAGGAAUAUUGGUCAAUGGGCGGGAGCCUGAACCAGCCAAGCCGCGUGAGAGAAGAAGGUACAGCGUAUCGUAAACUUCUUUUGUCAGGGAACAAAUGCGGGAACUAGUCCCCUGAGGAGGGUACCUUAAGAAAAAGCAUCGGCUAACUCCGUGCCAGCAGCCGCCGUAAUACGGAGGAUUCGAGCGUUAUCCGGAUUUAUUGGGUUUAAAGGGUGCGCAGGCGGCCUUUUAAGUCAGCGGUAAAAGCCCGGGGCUCAACCCCGGCGAGCCGUUGAAACUGGCGGGCUGGAGUUGGAGAGAAGUACGCGGAAUGCGUGGUGUAGCGGUGAAAUGCUUAGAUAUCGCGCAGAACCCCGAUUGCGAAGGCAGCGUACCGGCUCCACACUGACGCUGAGGCACGAAAGCGUGGGUAUCGAACAGGAUUAGAUACCCUGGUAGUC